rnacentral:siRNA from 1 species
GAGACUGCCGUGUACAAGUACAAU